AUAUCAAUAAGCGGAGGAAAAGAAACCAACAGGGAUUGCCUCAGUAACGGCGAGUGAAGCGGCAACAGCUCAAAUUUGAAAUCUGGCCCCUCCGGGGUCCGAGUUGUAAUUUGUAGAAGAUGCUUCGGGUGUGGCUCCGGUCUAAGUUCCUUGGAACAGGACGUCAUAGAGGGUGAGAAUCCCGUAUGUGACUGGCAGCCUUCGCCCAUGUGAAGCUCUUUCGACGAGUCGAGUUGUUUGGGAAUGCAGCUCAAAAUGGGUGGUAAAUUUCAUCUAAAGCUAAAUAUUGGCCAGAGACCGAUAGCGCACAAGUAGAGUGAUCGAAAGAUGAAAAGCACUUUGGAAAGAGAGUUAAACAGUACGUGAAAUUGUUGAAAGGGAAGCGCUUGCAACCAGACUUGCGCGCGGCCGAUCAUCCGGGGUUCUCCCCGGUGCACUCGACCGCGCUCAGGCCAGCAUCGGUUUGGGCGGCUGGAUAAAGGCCCUGGGAAUGUGGCUUCCUUCGGGGAGUGUUAUAGCCCUGGGUGCAAUGCAGCCUGCCCGGACCGAGGACCGCGCUUCGGCUAGGAUGCUGGCGUAAUGGUUGUAAGCGA
rnacentral:rRNA from 1 species